UACAUAUGAGUUAAUGUGUCUACUUCUUUAAUACCUAUUUUUGUGUACUAUUCUAUCCCCAGGACCUAGCCCAGUGCCUGGCACGGAGUGGACACUCAAUCAUCUUUCCAGAAGGAUGACAUGAGAGCAGAGCGCGAGGCAUUAAUCAACAGCAGGCAUCAGCUACCCUGACAGAAGAUCAGCUGUUCCAGCAGCAACAGUUCUAACCUCUGUUGAAGACCAAUAUCAAAAGAGAAACCAUACCUUAGAGAAGCAGUUCUUUUCAUUUAACAAUCCAUCUAUCAAUCCAUCUAUCAUCCAUUCACUGAUAGGAACCAGUCCUUUGUGUGCUUCCUUGCCUCAGGGAUUUUUGCAGGACGGAAGGCAGACGCCCCUGAAAAGUCUGUAGUUCUUCUUGCGUUGUUGCAAAGGCCUAUGGCCACUGAAGAAAUAACAAGUGCUCCAGACUCUAAGGAAGAGGGAUGAGGCUUUGGAGGACAGAGAGUCAGAGAGAGAAGCUCUUCAUCUUAAGGAGGUAGAGGAACAAGACUGCAGGCUCUGCAGAGAAGGUGGCAUCUGGAUGAUGGAGAAGUUUAUGGAUCCUCAUGGAGCAGGGGGAGGAACGUGUAACUCGCAGGUUGUCUUCCUCUGCAGGCUCCUGCUGUUCUGCAGCUGAGGGUCUGGGGAGAAGAUGCUCACAAGACCAGCCUGCGGCAAGUAUUUCUGCAGGUGGCACCCUUGGCACCUUUCUGACCUGUGUUACAUUGUCUUGUCUCCAUCCGUGACUUUGAGGUCUGUCAGUUCAUCCACCUACUGCCACUCCAGGAGUCGAAGAGCACGCACACGGAAGAAGAUAAAAAAUGCUCAGAUUGGCUUGUAAUUUAUAACCUGACUCCUUCCAAAAAUUCUUGAGAGAAGCCUCAGUCAUACUCAGGGUCCUAAUCAGCUUUAAGAAAGUCUCCGCACAGCCUCCCCUUUUUAGAAAUAUGAAGAUUUAUGUCAUAAUCUCUUUUACCAAACUUCAUCAGGCCUUCACUAUGCUUUGCAGGGACUGGAAGAUGAUUGUGCCGUGAGUGUGUGUGUGUGUGUGUGUGUGUGUGUGUGUAAUCUCCAAUGUGAAACAGUAGAAUUUAUAAAGUACUUUCCCAUAUAUUUCUCCUUUAGUACUUACUACAACCCUAUUUUACAGGUGAAAAACAUGAGUCUCGGAGAGGUAAAGUUAUUUGGUGAUGGGCAUCCAACUUAUAAGCUCCAAGAAAGUAGAGUCAAUGUCUGCAUUAAUCUCCAUUAAAUCUCCAGAGCCUAGCACAGUGCCUGACACAGACUAGAUUUCUGAUAAGUAUUUUUUGAAUUAAUUAACAAGUGAGUUAAUUGUAACUUAAUGAAAUUGAGAUUAAAAUUCUGAAUUCCAACCUUUCUAUCCACUAUGAAUUGAUUCCCUCUGAUAGCACAGUGCAUUUAUCUACAGAAAUCUGAACAAAUGAAAGCACUUACUCAACUCAGUCUUGUAGCUUAGAAACAUUUUUGUGUAACACAUAUCAAAGUCGUGCCCCAUAUGAAUGAGUCUAUCCAUUUGGUGUAUUGUGGGCAGAAUAAGGCUGUGCGGCAAGGAAUUCUCAGAUUAGGGUUUCUCACUGUGCUUUGACUCUACGACCCUUUGUGGUGCUACACACCCCUCCCCCACCCCAGCCCCCAAAAUAUACAUACACAUUUUGCACACCAUUUCAUGGAGUGCACAAACUCCCUACUCAAGUUCAAGACUAUCUUUGGGGGCUUCUUUGCCAAAAUGGAUGUUUAAUGUAUAGUAAGUUCCUCUGAUAAGCUGUAUGCCCCCACAGGGUACAUGGCUACUGCUGGGCUUCCAAGGGUAAGAAAGGAAGUAAAGAGAAACAGAAGGUCAUGAAAAGUGGUGCUCUUUAUUGCAUCUGCAGCAGAAUGGCAAGCAGCUCACUAGAAUUUCUAACUGGCUUGGAAUGUGAAAGGAUAGGAAUAGGAAAGGUUGGUCAAAUAAUUCUUUCAGAUGCUUCUACUCAAGAAAUCUCAGAGCAGUCUGCUGGUUAGUUGACUAGUUUUUCAUUUAUUUCUGAGGAAUGAGAGAAGGUUGAUUGUCCAUCUGAAUCCUUGCUGACCUGUGGCUGGGAGCUGUCUGACACGUUGCAUCAAGUCUUGGCUAUUUGUAUAUAUAUGACUGAAUAAAUGACUGAUUUAUCCUCAGAGAAUUCUGAGUCCCAGGCCAUCUUUUUGCUCCUUUCCCCCACUAAUAUUCUUGGUAAAUACAAAUAGAGUGGUUUUAUAAACACUCUUUUAAUAAACCCCAGAAAUUGAGCCAAGACUAGCAGCUACAAUUCUGCUUUCAGGAACAGGUUCCCUUGCCUCAGAUCAUUAUUCUUUGUGAAAAUACCACAUUCAGUUAAACAGACUUGCUGGUGUGGUCAAAAAAAAAGGUAAAAUGCAAGA